UCAUAUUCUAUAUUUGAGCUUAGGCACAGGCUCACUUGAGUUUAUGAAAACUUAAAUUCCAAAUUGGAUUAAAAUUUGUCUUGAAUUUUAAUGAUAAUCAACUAGAGCCUUUGAGCACCAUAUUGAGCCUGGGAUGAAUUCAAAAAUGUAAGACUAACAGAGUUGAGUUUUCUCUUGAGUUUUUGAGUCAAGCCGAGUUUGAGUAUACUUUAUCAAAUCAACUUAGCCCAAUUGCACCACCAUAAAUACGAGGCAAUCAAAUACAUCAAACAAUUCAAUUGAUAGCAAGCAAUAGAAAAGUAAAGCUUCAUCCAAAAUUAGGAAGAGGAAGUAUGCAAUAAGAAGCAUAAGUCAAUGCACUACAGCAAAUUGAUAUUCUCUCAAAAUGCACAAACACAUCAAAAUUUCCCACAAAAAAUCUUACUUGAGAGCGCAACAAUUUUAUAUCCUCUUGAGUUUCUGCAGUCUCAUAAGUUAAAUACAAAUGCCUCCCAACAUUAUCACGAGCAUAUGGAAAGAGAACAUCAGCGACAAAUGAUAUGGGAGUAGUAGUCCCUUCAAUGUCGAGCACAAUGCAGCG
rnacentral:misc_RNA from 1 species